GUGAGUCAUCGAAUCUUUGAACGCACAUUGCGCCCGCCAGUAUUCUGGCGGGCAUGCCUGUUCGAGCGUCAUUUCAACCCUCAAGCUCCGGCUUGGUGUUGGGGAUCGGCAGCCCGGCUUCGCGCCGUCGCCGUCCCCCAAAUGCAGUGGCGGUCACGCUGUAGCUUCCUAUGCGUAGUAGCACACCUCGCACUGGAAAGCAGCGCGGCCACGCCGUAAAACCCCCAACUUUUUGUGGUUGACCUCGAAUCAGGUAGGACUACCCGCUGAACUUAAGCAUAUCAAUAAGCGGAGGA
rnacentral:misc_RNA from 1 species